UACGUAGGGUGCAAGCGUUGUCCGGAUUCAUUGGGCGUAAAGAGCUCGUAGGCGGCUUGCUAAGUCAGGUGUGAAACCUCCAGGCUCAACCUGGGAACUGCGUCUGAUACUGGAUGGCUUGAAUUCGGGAGAGGGAUGCAGAAUUCCAGGUGUAGCGGUGAAAUGCGUAGAUAUCUGGAGGAAUACCGGUGGCGAAGGCGGCAUCCUGGACCGACAUUGACGCUGAGGAGCGAAAGCUAGGGGAGCAAACGGG
rnacentral:rRNA from 1 species